rnacentral:rRNA from 1 species
UACGAAGGGGGGCUAGCGUUGCUCGGAAUCACUGGGCGUAAAGCGCACGUAGGCGGCUUCUUAAGUCAGGGGUGAAAUCCUGGAGCUCAACUCCAGAACUGCCUUUUGAUACUGAGGAGCUUGAGUCCGGGAGAGGUGAGUGGAACUGCGAGUGUAGAGGUGAAAUUCGUAGAUAUUCGCAAGAACACCAGUGGCGAAGGCGGCUCACUGGCCCGGUACUGACGCUGAGGUGCGAAAGCGUGGGGAGCAACAGGAU